CGCCGUAAAUUCUUCAUCCGAACUCGGAUUUGAGUGAUUCCAAGUGCGUUGGAAGCUUGACGAAGAGUUCUAUCUGUUCUGAUGGUUGGAUGUAGAGUGAACGAGAUAUGAAGGGCGUUGUUCUUCUUGUGAACAUCGCAGGGUUCCCGAUUUGCCCGUGCCUUCGUUAUUCCGUAGUUCGUCGAUUUACUUCAAUCGUUCAUCGACGUCAAUCGAACUCCUGUGGAUCGGAUAGUGACGUUCAUCGUCGCUCUUUAACACUGAACUGUUCGUGGAGACCUAUAGGCAAUUUUCGAUGCCUACAUAUAUAAAGCAAAGAGUGGUCAUGUACAAAAGGGAUUGCCUCUUCCAUAUGAGAAAAGAAGACUGCAUCGUGCAGACCGAGAACACCAAUAUAUCGGAUUUCAGGUUAUGAGAAAUUUCAAAUGGGGACCAACAAACUAUGCUAUCACAUGUUAAUAAUCACCCUGUCGCUGCUGUGAUAAAAGUCACCUAAAUUUAAGAAGCUCAAGGUCGGAAAAGUUUACAGGUCUCCUGGCAAUAGUACUGGAGGGGGGUUGCACGUUAUUGUUGUCGUUGGGUAUAGUGUAAAAGACAGGGUCAAUUAUUGGAAAAAUAAUGAACAGUUGGAGCACGCAAUGGGGAGACAAUAUUCUGAGAUUCCAGUUUAUCUUUCAACAGAAAAUCACUUCUAGCUAGAGUUUCAUAUCCGAUUCUUAGUAAAGAAUAUAUGGAGAAGAGAAGUCUCAUAGUUGUCUUUCAUGUUACCUACAAGUGUAAUAUUAUUUUAAUGUUUACAACUUGUUUACGUUAAAGUCAAUUUGGAAACAACUACAUUAGAUUUUGUUUUGAGUUGAGAAAAUUCAGCGUAAGUGCUAGCACUACAAAAUAAUUGAUCUACUGCAACGGUUAAGGCGCAACGGUUUUAACUGUUGCGUUAGAUAUCUAUCGUAACGAUUUUUAGGAUGUAAUACAACAUUUAAUAUAAAAUGUUGCCAUAUCUCUAAUAAUUGUUUCUGGGCUUAAUAAUUGUUACUGACCUUUGAGCUUGAGUAAAGCCCACUGUUUGACCGACCGCUUAAACCACACCAACUUAAAAAGGAAAUCUCUCACUCUCUCUCUCUCCCAAAUCCCUAAAAUCGCCGCUGCCAUGGCCAAAACUCCCUAAAAUCGCCGUGGCCAAAACUCCCUCGUCGCCGUUUUCAGUCCUCGCCGGAGUCCGUUUACUUUCGUCGCCGUUUUCAUCUCGUUGGUUUCAUCGUCGAGCUACUCUCGUUGCUCCAGAAAUCGAGCCCAAUCUCGCUAACCGGAGCUUUCUAGGGCGUAUGUUAGAACAGAGGCAUGUGCAAGAGACUGAGUAGGUCAAGGGGUGACAUGAUGAUUAAUGUCAAAUGCAGUUUUACUAGUUAUGAAGAGUCGGAGGAUAAAAGAUUCAUCAACAUAUCAUGCAACUUGAUGUUUCUCUCUCAUGUAAUAAGUUUAUAUCCUCACACAUAUCGUCGUAUGGAGUAGGAAAAGAGAGCUGAACGUUCUCUAAAUUGAAAAUGCAUAUUUGUAAAUGUUUUCCUUUAAUAUUAUUUCUUGUAUUUCUAACUUCUAUUUGGCUUCGUAUAUGCGGUAUUUCCUUAUGAUUCAAUUUUUGGCAUCA